rnacentral:ncRNA from 2 species
GCAACGGAUAUCUCGGCUCUCGCAUCGAU